rnacentral:RNase_P_RNA from 1 species
CCUGCUGGCCGGGUGGCCGCCCCGGUUGCUCCAUUAGGGGCUGAUCGGGGAGGAAAGUCCGGGCUCCACCGGGCAGGGUGCUGGGUAACGCCCAGGCUUCCGCUAAGGAUUAGUCUGGCGCGGGAGACGGAAAGUGGCGCAGAAACAUACCGCCCCGGCAACCGUCAGGGAGCUGGGGUAAGGGUGAAAUCGGGCGGUAAGAGCGCCCGGCCGACUGCGGUGACGCAGCGGCGGCCAAACCCCACCUGGAGCAAGGCCGAAUAGAGGGACUAUGAGCGCCCGGCUCGUCCCCGGGUUGGCUGCUUGACCACGGCGGCAACGCCGUCCCGCCCAUCACCCGUAUGGGCAACGGGCCCCGGCGAGAGCCGGGGGGCUAGAUAGAUGGCCACCGUCCCGAUUCCUUCGGGAUACAGAACCCGGCUUACAGGCCUGCCGGGCCU